AAAAGACAUAGUUAUACUUUCCCCCAUAUACUUAAGUGGCCCAUCAUUUAUGAAAUACCCUCCAUGGUGGAAAACAACUUCAAAAGGAUCCUCCAUGUACAAUAGUAUAACAGUAUAUAUCCUAUAAAAUAAUAAUAGGGCCAAUGACAACAAAAAUUAUACAAAAUUAGAACCACAACAACAAAAUAUGGGGACCAACGACAACACAACUUAAACAAAAUAAAAAGCACAAGAAACAAAGAUAGGACCACAUUGCAACAGCAAUUUAAAGCACAACAUCAUAAUCCCACUAUGACAACACUUCGAACAUGGGGGACAACAUUACAAUUAACAAGAGAACAUGAAUGACCAUGCAUCAUUGUCAAAAACCAUAAAAGGACAAAUUAUAUAAGCAAUUAAACAAUUACUAUCCUCAACACGUGCUUCACCUUUAACGAGCUUUGCGAAACUCUUCCACGUGAUUCACCGCCAAUGAUUAGCCGCUUCCACCGAAAAAACACCGAUAAAUGAUGACAAUUUCGUAGAAAGAAGCUUUAUGUAUAGUUAAUUUCUCACUAAAACCCAAUGUUCCCAAUUGCCAAGCACAACGACAAACCCACCCACGAAUCCUAUUUUCUCCAAUUUCGCACACACUCAAUUCUGACCCUAAAUUACGAAAGUUAACCCUAAUACCUUUUAAUUUUAUUUCGAGAAAUCAAUUUUAAUUUCUG
rnacentral:lncRNA from 1 species